rnacentral:rRNA from 1 species
GACGAACGCUGGCGGCGUGCCUAAUACAUGCAAGUAGAACGCUGAAGGAGGAGCUUGCUUCUCUGGAUGAGUUGCGAACGGGUGAGUAACGCGUAGGUAACCUGCCUGGUAGCGGGGGAUAACUAUUGGAAACGAUAGCUAAUACCGCAUAAGAGUAGAUGUUGCAUGACAUUUACUUAAAAGGUGCAAUUGCAUCACUACCAGAUGGACCUGCGUUGUAUUAGCUAGUUGGUGAGGUAACGGCUCACCAAGGCAACGAUACAUAGCCGACCUGAGAGGGUGAUCGGCCACACUGGGACUGAGACACGGCCCAGACUCCUACGGGAGGCAGCAGUAGGGAAACUUCGGCAAUGGACGGAAGUCUGACCGAGCAACGCCGCGUGAGUGAAGAAGGUUUUCGGAUCGUAAAGCUCUGUUGUAAGAGAAGAACGAGUGUGAGAGUGGAAAGUUCACACUGUGACGGUAUCUUACCAGAAAGAGACGGCUAACUACGUG